rnacentral:rRNA from 1 species
UACAGAGGGUGCGAGCGUUAAUCGGAAUUACUGGGCGUAAAGCGUGCGUAGGUGGUUUGUUAAGUCAGGUGUGAAAUCCCCGGGCUUAACCUGGGAAUGGCAUUUGGGACUGCAAGGCUGGAGUGCGGCAGAGGAGACUGGAAUUCCUGGUGUAGCAGUGAAAUGCGUAGAUAUCAGGAGGAACACCGAUGGCGAAGGCAGGUCUCUGGGCUGACACUGACGCUCAUGCACGAAAGCGUGGGGAGCAAACAGG